rnacentral:rRNA from 1 species
UGAAUACGAGAUGCUACGGCGUCGAAGCAGUGUAUGUCAGACUUCCAAGAAAAGCUCGCAAUGUCAUAAAUAAAGAAUGCCUGUACCAUAACCGACACAGGUGGGUAGGUAGAGUAUACUAAGGGGCGCGAGAUAACUCUCUCUAAGGAACUCGGCAAAAUAACUCCGUAACUUCGGGAGAAGGAGUGCCUUCUUGAAGAAGGUUGCAAUAACAAGAUCCAAGCAACUGUUUAUCAAAAACACAGGUCUCCGCUAAGUCGAAAGACGAUGUAUGGGGGCUGACGCCUGCCCAGUGCCAGAAGGUUAAAGAAGCUGGUUAGCAAUAGCGAAGCUGGUGACUGAAGCCCUGGUGAACGGCGGCCGUAACUAUAACGGUCCUAAGGUAGCGAAAUUCCUUGUCGGGUAAGUUCCGACCCGCACGAAAGGCGUAAUGAUUUGGAUACUGUCUCGGAGAGGGACUCGGUGAAAUAGACUUGUCUGUGAAGAUGCGGACUACCUGCACCAGGACAGAAAGACCCUAUGAAGCUUUACUGUAACUUGAAAUUGAAAUUGGACUUUAUUUGCGCAGUAUAGGUGGAAGGCGUUGAGAUUACUCUUGCGGGAUUAGUGGAGCCAUCAGUGAGAUACCACUCCUAUAAUGUUAGAUUUCUAACUUUGGAUCAUAAUCUGGUCAAAGAACAGUUUCAGGCGGGCAGUUUGACUGGGGCGGUCGCCUCCCAAAUGGUAACGGAGGCGUACAAAGGUUUCCUCUGAACGGGUAGAAAUCGUAUCUAGAGUGUAAAGGCAUAAGGAAGCUUGACUGUGAGACCUACAAGUCGAGCAGGGACGAAAGUCGGUCUUAGUGAUCUGACGGUGCUGAGUGGAAAGGCCGUCACUCAACGGAUAAAAGUUACUCUAAGGAUAACAGGCUGAUCUCCCCCAAGAGUUCACAUCGACGGGGAGGUUUGGCACCUCGAUGUCGGCUCAUCGCAUCCUGGGGCGGUAGUACGUCCCAAGGGUUGGGCUGUUCGCCCAUGAAAGCGGUACGCGAGCUGGGUUCAGAACGUCGUGAGACAGUUCGGUCCAUAUCCGGUGUAGGCGUUAGAAUAUUGAGAGGAGCCUUCUUUAGUACGAGAGGACCGAGAAGGACAUACCUCUGGUGUACCAGUUAUCGUGCCAACGGUAAACGCUGGGUAGCUAUGUAUGGAGAGGAUAACCGCUGAAAGCAUCUAAGUGGGAAGCCCACCUCAAGAUGAGUAUUCUCAGC